rnacentral:rRNA from 1 species
UACGUAGGGUGCGAGCGUUGUCCGGAAUUAUUGGGCGUAAAGAGCUUGUAGGCGGUUUGUCGCGUCUGCUGUGAAAAUCCGGGGCUCAACCCCGGACUUGCAGUGGGUACGGGCAGACUAGAGUGUGGUAGGGGAGACUGGAAUUCCUGGUGUAGCGGUGGAAUGCGCAGAUAUCAGGAGGAACACCGAUGGCGAAGGCACUCUACUGGGCCAUUACUGACACUGAGAGACGAAAGCUAGGGGAGCGAAUGGG